AUGAAGACAUCCAUUGGAACUGUAACCAUGUUGCUGUGGCUGCAGUGGAACUGGCUCAGCCAGGGGGAGAAAGUGGAGCAGCAGCCUCUCACCCUGAGCGUCCCGGAGGGAGACAGAGCUGUCAUCAACUGUACUUACUCAGACAGUGCCUCAUCUUACUUCCCUUGGUAUAAGCAAGAACCUGGAAAAGGUCUCCAGCUGAUUAUAGACAUUCGUUCAAAUAAGAAUGUUAGUGAAGAACCUAGAUACACUCUCUCAUUGAACAAAACUGCCAAACAUCUUUCCCUGCUCAUCCCAGCCACCCAGCCUGGAGACUCUGCCGUGUACUUCUGCGCAGCGAGUACACAGUGCUGCCCUGGCACCUGCAGCCUGUACUGA